rnacentral:rRNA from 1 species
UGACCGUGCUAAGGUAGCAUAAUCAUUUGUUUCUUAAUUAGAGACUUGUAUGANUGAGAUGACANCUCUAUCUCUUUUCUAAUAUCAGGCAUAGAAAUUAAUAUCUGUUUCAAAAAGAACAGCUAUCUAGGGGGACGAUAAGACCCUGUGAAGCUUUAUUUAAGGGAUUGUUUUACUAUUUAGUUAAAUUUAGCAAGCUUUAAAUUAAGCUGGGGCGGUAUUAAUAAAACUUUUAAAAUUUUAACAAGUGUAUUUGAUUUAGAAGAUCUCGGGAAGAGAAUUAGAAUAAGCUACUCCAGGGAUAACAGCACAAUUUUUUUGGAUAGAUCUUAUAGAUGGAAAAGACUGUGACCUCGAUGUUGAAUUGAAGAACCUUGUUUGAGCAGCCCCCGACUAAGGAGGUCUGUUCGCCCUUUAAUCCUUCA